rnacentral:rRNA from 1 species
UACGGGGGGGGGGCAAGCGUUUGUUCGGAAUUACUGGGCGUAAAGGGCUCGUAGGCGGCCAACUAAGUCAGACGUGAAAUCCCUCGGCUUAACCGGGGAACUGCGUCUGAUACUGGAUGGCUUGAGUUCGGGAGAGGGAUGCGGAAUUCCAGGUGUAGCGGUGAAAUGCGUAGAUAUCUGGAGGAACACCGGUGGCGAAGGCGGCAUCCUGGACCGACACUGACGCUGAGGAGCGAAAGCCAGGGGAGCAAAGCGGG